UACGGGGGGAGCAAGCGUUGUUCGGAUUUACUGGGCGUAAAGGGCGCGUAGGCGGCCACCGCAAGUCACUUGUGAAAUCUCCGGGCUUAACCCGGAAAGGUCAACUGAUACUGCGGGGCUAGAGUGCAGAAGGGGCAACUGGAAUUCUCGGUGUAGCGGUGAAAUGCGUAGAUAUCGAGAGGAACACCUGCGGCGAAGGCGGGUUGCUGGGCUGACACUGACGCUGAUGUGCGAAAGCGUGGGGAGCAAACAGG
rnacentral:rRNA from 1 species